GACGAACGCUGGCGGCGUGCUUAACACAUGCAAGUCGAACGGAAAGGCCCUGCUUUUGUGUGGUGCUAGAGUGGCGCACGGGUGUGUAACACGUGAGUAACCUGCCCUUGACUUUGUGAUAACUUCAGGAAACUGGGGCUAAUACCGGCUAGGAGCUCCUGCUGCAUGGUGGGGGUUGGAAAGUUUCGGCGGUUGGGGAUGGACUCGCGGCUUAUCAGCUUGUUGGUGGGGUAGUGGCUUACCAAGGCUUUGACGGGUAGCCGGCCUGAGAGGGUGAACGGCCACAUUGGGACUGAGAGACGGCCCAGACUCCUAUGGGAGGCAGCAGGCGGGAAUAUUGCACAAUGGGCGGAAGCCUGAUGCAGCAACGCCGCGUGCGUGAUGAAGGCCUUCGGGUUGGAAACCGCUGUCGCUUGAGACGAAGCGUGAGUGACGGUAAUGGGUAAAGAAGCACCGGCUAACUACGUG
rnacentral:rRNA from 1 species